UUGGCCUGCCGCGAUGACGGGUGGGCCGACGCUGCUCGUGGUCCCGCUCGUCGGUUGCACUGGAUGCGCGUCUCGUCGGGGUCGCCGCGUCGUCGUUUGCGUUCGCCUCUGGUGUUGGAGAGAGUUGUGCGGCUGACUCCUGCGUCGUGCUCUGCCUGACUCCUGCGCCAUGCCGCGUCUCGUCUACGGCGGCAGGAGCGUGCGGUGUGGGUGCCCCCAACCCACAGGUCUCCUCCUCACUCCUCCCUUCCGCCCCUCCCCCCGCGCGGCCCCAGGAGCUCUGCCGUCGAUGAGAUCCACCGCCUCCCGAGGUCCUUAUCCACCCAGCUCGCGAGGAAGCCGCGGGAGGAGGAGCUCAACCGGGCAUUCGCCGGCCGGAGAAGGAGGAGAGGCGCGGAUGCCAGCCAGGGAGGCGGAUCGGCUCGCCGCCGCUGCGCCGUGAGCGCCGCCGCUGCCUCUGCAUCCACCUUGUUCCGCAUAGCAGCAUGUGGGCGGAAGCGCGGACAGCCGACCACGAGCAGAUGGCGUCGGCGGCAACGGCAACACGCACGGUGCGCCAAGUCCGGUAAGAUGGGCGCGGCCUGCCCGCAGGCAUUUCAGGAUGGCGUGCCCGACGGCUCGGAACGCGCGCGCCCGGCGCACAGGAGGUAUGCCUCGGAGCACGCCGGCGGCAACGUGCACCGCGAGGUCCCGGAGCAGCCCAGCCAGUACAGAGCCCCUCCGUACUGGACGAACCCUUUCCCCUCCGUCCCCUCUCUUUCUUCUGAACCAUCUCUCUUUUCAGACCCUCUCUCUGUUACACAUUUGCAUGAAAAAACAAAAGUAAAAGGGAAAACGUACUUUGGGUUCAUAAGACCAACAACAAAACGAUUGUUAAUGAAAGGUUUGGGUGCAGGCAUUCUCAAAUCAAGGUCUUUUAUCUAAUUAGUUGGAUAACUACUUUUCAGGUGUAUGCCGAUUUCCACAAUAACACUGCCUCCAACUUUCUCAUUUCCCCGGCUCUGCAUACAAGGUCCAAACUAGGUAUGCCAAUCUUGUUAUCGCUUGUUCAGUCGCUUUCUGGUUUAUGCCCUUUUUCCCACCUGCAUUACUGCAUAUAGUGAGGCAGUCUGUGGAAUUUAGGUGCUGGUUUGAACAAAUUACAAUGAUGUAGUGGUGAGGAUCAGUACAGUCACCGGCUUUAUAUUGUGGUCAGCCUGUUUGUCUGCUUGCUCAUGCAUUCUAAUACAUGAUGUCCUGAUGAUUUGUGAAGUUCUGUGUAUCACGUGAUAAGCUGCACAUCAGGUAGCAUGGCAGCUUGUUUGUUGCUUUUAGGAUGUACAUGUACCCAGGUGGAUCAAAUACAGAUACCGAUCAUAUAUUUUUCUUUACUCGUGUGUUUUUCAUGUGUCUGCCAAGCAUUUCGACAAAUUGAUUAUAUCAUUCAGAUGUAUUCAGGCCAGGUUUCUGUGACAAAAAAAAAAAUCAUGUGCGACUGGCUUUCUUAUUACAUACAAAACUAAAUGUGGAGAAGUAUAUAUGUUCAUUAUUUGGUAACUGAACUGAAUUGCCUUGGUAUAAAACUCCCAUUAACUUGUGCCGGAGGUGCUGUAAUGAUUUGAUGGAAAGGCUUUUAUAUUUCCAAGUUGAUCAACUACACAACUUCUGAUCUUAAAGCCUUUCUUUAAAAGGCACUGGUCAAUACAACUCGAUGUUGUGCUAUCUUGCUAUUGGGCCCCUUUUUCUUUUCUUAAAAUGGUCGGAUAUCUCAUGUUUUAUUCGUGGUUGAUUGCUUAUAUCCAAAAUAAUUAUGUUAGUAUACUGAAGUUAAUUUCUAUUCCCUCCGUCCCAAAAUAAGUGUCUCAAGCUUAGUACAAAGUUGAGACACUUAUUUUGGGACGGAGGGAGUACAUUAUUAGUGAAGUUGGCUAAAUAGUUUUUGCGCUACUGAGAUAUAUAUGUGCACUACAUUCUAACCGUCUAAAUUCUUGUGCUAUUGAGUUUAAUCAGGAAUAUAAUUAUGUUAGUACACUCUGCAAUAUAAUUAUAUUAUAUUCUGCUUUUGUCAGUUUUCUGGUCCAUGUUAGUUUGCUCGAGCUUGUUUUUACAUCUGGUCAUAUUUAUACCUCUCCGCCGACUGCCACCUAUCAUGGAGGAGGGAGAUGGCUUUGCCAGGCCGUCAACACCAAUCGGCAACUUCCGGCAGGCGCCGUCCGUUCUUCCUCCCCUUACUCCGAUGCCUUCAUGGCCAAAAUCAUUAGCAGCAGCAAGAAGGUUAAGCACCAACUAUGGUUAAAGAUCUGAUUUUGCUGGUCAGGUUAGAAAUUCAGGUAAUACGACUAUUGCGAUGCAUCUUUCUACGUGUGUGUAUUUAUUUGCAUUAUUAAUAUUUUUCUCCAAAUCAUUUUUUGGUCAUAAAUUAUUUUGCAUUAUUGAUGAUUAAUUUGCAAUUGAAAUGCCAACAGGGCUGGGUUUUAUAAGUGUAAUGGGUUCAAGUGUGACCUUCCAGUCAAGAAAUGUCCUCAGCAAGAAGCUUAUGUGAAGAUCCCUUUUCUACUUUGAGUGAAUUUACCGUAUAUAUCUCUUAUUUAGUUUAGUUCAUCAUUCAGAGAUGGUGGAAUAUUUUUGUCCUUCACAGGUUAAAUGAGCAUUGCUUAAAAGUCUGUCUAAGUUCUCUUUCUUAUUCUUCUAUAAACUGGAAGGCAAAUAUAGAUUUCUCACGCAUAGUUUAUCAAUCAUGGUCUCACCUCCUUUCUAUAUGCAGACAGUGUGGUACUCACUGGGGAUGUGUGCAGUGAUGGAGGGUUAUGUCCCAAUGGGUGACAGGCAUGGUGAUGUUCACCACUGAUAUGGAGAGAACAGGGAAAAAGAUAACUUCCCUUGAACUAUGAAAUGUGGUCACGAAAUUAGAAAUCAUUGUGGUGAUAUAACUCUUUCAUAUGACCAAAUGAAAUCGCAUUGCACUAAUUAAGAAUCGCCGGCUAUAUUUGUUAUUUCAUUCUAUAAUUUAUGUUUACAAUGAAAACGAACCUGCUAAAUGCUCUAGGAGAAAGGCUGGGAUGAAAUCCGCUGCAGAGCCUCAUGUGCUUCAAGUUUUCCAUAUGAAUAAGAACUACAUACUCUUUGUCUGUGGUACGAACGCAUUUCCAGACCUAUCAAGGCCAAGCUGCUUGCUAAUCUUAAUUUCUUUUUAUGCAGAUGAAUCAACAAGUGUUCUCCGAAAGGCUGAAGGUGAAUAUCAAGGGCACCGCUCUUUGAUGAUGCGCACCCAUGGUUUGCUCACCACGAUGCAACGACAAGAUGUUCUUGAUGGUCGAGCAAAAGUGGAACAAAUGGGUUUAACUUGUAUGCCUACUCCUGUUGCGAUAAGCAUUUGGUUUCCAUCUGCAAGACAAGUUUCUGCUUGUGUAACAACAAUACUGUCUGGGUCGUCCAGUUUCUAGCUAUCAUCUGUUCCAGGAUCAUCCCGACCAUUGGGUUCCUCGUGUUCUCCUUGGUGGUUCUGUACAUUGUCUCAAGACGUAUUGGCCUGUUGAUACUGCAAAGGAAGCUGGCUGAUGCUAUGAGAUCAGGCUCAGUAUCAGCUGAAGACAUCUUGGAGAAAGUGCAGGACGGACCUGCUCAAACAAAUGCUCCUCCCAUCUAUGAUGAACUGUGAUUCUACUUUCAUCCAUUGUUUAUACAUGAGCUAACAUCCAGAAGCAAGCUUACCUCUUAGAGUUAUUAUUUCGUACUACAUGUUGUCUAAAGUAACAUUUGCCCAAAAAGGCUAUUACUGGUGCGUUAACCUACUGCUGGAAUUGAGCUGAAAUCCAAGUACUUUACAUUGCA